ensembl:ribozyme RNase_MRP RNase MRP
GUUUGCAGUGGGAAUGUGCCACAACCUAAGAUCCCUCUGAGGUAUGAUCACGAAAGACAGCAAACGUUUACAUUUUUUAAAUUAUUUCCUUAAGACACAUCAGCCUGGUUGCCUAGGGGAAAGUCCCUGGACCUUGGGCAGAAAGUGCCGCGUGCUCACACACGUAGACCCUCCCCGCGCUUCACACUUAGCCUGCUAAGCAGCAAACCCGGUCUCUGGGACUGUGGAGCUGAGCCACGUGUUGCGGGACGUCAUCAGUCAGCUGUCAUAGUGAUGCAGGCAGUGCAUGCUUCGGUGCGCACCAACCACAUGGGGCUCAUUCUCAGCGCAGC